rnacentral:rRNA from 1 species
CAGUCGAACGAAGCACUUAUCUUUGAUUCUUCGGAUGAAGAGGUUUGUGACUGAGUGGCGGACGGGUGAGUAACGCGUGGGUGACCCGCCUCAUACAGGGGGAUAACAGUUAGAAAUGACUGCUAAUACCGCAUAAGACCACAGAGCCGCAUGGCUCAGUGGGAAAAACUCCGGUGGUAUGAGAUGGACCCGCGUCUGAUUAGGUAGUUGGUGGGGUAACGGCCUACCAAGCCAACGAUCAGUAGCCGACCUGAGAGGGUGACCGGCCACAUUGGGACUGAGACACGGCCCAAACUCCUACGGGAGGCAGCAGUGGGGAAUAUUGCACAAUGGGGGAAACCCUGAUGCAGCGACGCCGCGUGAGCGAAGAAGUAUUUCGGUAUGUAAAGCUCUAUCAGCAGGGAAGAAAAUGACGGUACCUGACUAAGAAGCACCGGCUAAAUACGUGCCAGCAGCCGCGGUAAUACGUAUGGUGCAAGCGUUAUCCGGAUUUACUGGGUGUAAAGGGAGCGUAGACGGCUGUGUAAGUCUGAAGUGAAAGCCCGGGGCUCAACCCCGGAACUGCUUUGGAAACUAUGCAGCUAGAGUGUCGGAGAGGUAAGUGGAAUUCCCAGUGUAGCGGUGAAAUGCGUAGAUAUUGGGAGGAACACCAGUGGCGAAGGCGGCUUACUGGACGAUGACUGA